AGGCUGGACAUUGGGAGCUCCUGGGACAGUGGGAGGUGGCCCUGCCAUGGCAGUUCUGGGAUGAGAUGAUCUUUAAGGUCCCUUCCAACCCAAACCAUUCCAUGGUUCCAUGAAAGGAAAUGUCUUUGGACACAUCCCCUCUCGGUGGGGAGAGUGAAGUCAGAUCCUAAUUCCAGAAGGGGAAGCCACACUUGAUGGAUCAGAUAAAGUGCAGAGGCUGCAACUGUCAACACAGAAAUAACUGAGAGUGGAUUUGAGGUGUAUUGGAAUUAUUUCUGCCUGGUGUCUGCUCUUGGCUGGCAGGACAGGGCAGGGCCAGCAAGGGAGUUUGGAAAUGAUGGCAUCUCUCUUGGAGUCAUUUUCCUGCAUUUCACAGGAGGAAAAAAUUCUAUGUGGGGAUGAAAUUAUGAAUUUUCUCCCUCUGUCCUCAUCACGGAAAUUUCACGGUGGUGAUUUGUCCAGCCAAGAAUUUUAAGCAAUAAAUUUGGUCAUGCUCUAUUUAA